rnacentral:rRNA from 1 species
CCUACGGGUGGCAGCAGUGAGGAAUAUUGGUCAAUGGCCGGAAGGCUGAACCAGCCAUGCCGCGUGAAGGACAGCGCCCUUUGGGUUGUAAACCUCUUUUAUAAAGGAAUAAAACGAGGCACGUGUGCCCUUUUGCAUGUACUUUUUGAAUAAGGGUCGGCUAACUCCGUGCCAGCAGCCGCCGUAAUACGGAGGAUCCGAGCGUUAUCCGGAGUUAUUGGGUUUAAAGGGAGCGUAGAUGGGUUGUUAAGUCAGUUGUGAAAGUUUGCGGCUCAACCGUAAAAUUGCAAUUGAUACUGGCAGUCUUGAGUACAGUUGAGGUAGGCGGAAUUCGUGGUGUAGCGGUGAAAUGCUUAGAUAUCACGAAGAACCCCGAUUGCGAAGGCAGCUUACUAAACUGUGACUGACAUUGAUGCUCGAAAGUGUGGGUAUCAAACAGGAUUAGAUACCCCGGUAGUC